rnacentral:lncRNA from 1 species
AAAAUUCUCAAACCCCAUUACUGUAAUUCUCUUUUCCUUUCACCUCUUAUCUAUGUAAUUGAUAGAAAUCUUACACCUGGAAGAAGGGUCAGGUAGCCAAGUGCUAUGAGGGUUUGGCCUUGUUUUCAUAUAACUCUUUUGAGUUUUACCUGAAUUCUCUGCGCCCCCUUCUGAGCUCUGUCUCUCUUCUAUAUCUCACUGCGUUUAUCUUCCUAUAUUUAUCUCUGUGUAUGUAUCUAUCUGGCCACCAUUAGGUGCUCCAUUAAAGCUUUCCUUGGUGCAAUUUCCCUGAAAGCUAAUAGGUUUAAGGACUUGUCUUUCGGUCUCACAAGGGGUAAGCUUUCAAAUUCUAGACAACUGUCACUUUAUUCACUGCAAUGCAUUAAUAAUUUGAAACUUUCUCGUGUUUGGCCUGGAAUUCUGUAAUUCUGUAUUGUAUAUUAUAUAGAUUGGUCUAUUUUUUUUAAAUUUGUAUAAUUUAAAAUUUUAAUUUGAUGCUGUCAAUGGAUGAGAAUUAGGGUUUAUGAAGUUAAUUGGCAUUUGUUUCUGGGUCUUAUACAUUCCUUAACUAGUUUUGGAUUUGGGUUUUUGAGGUUGAAAGGUGGUGGUUUCCUGGUUAUUUUAGCAUGAAUCCUUUUUUUGAAUAUUUGGUUCUUUGUUGUAAAAAGGGUGUGUGCUACUUUGUUGGUGUGUUUCAUUUCUAGCAAUUUGAGUCUUUGGAGAUUAAAGGGUAUCAGUUUCUGGGUUUGUGUAUAAUUCUAUAUCUCAUUCCUGGUUUGAUCAUCUGAGUUUAUUUGAAGUGUAAGAAUGUCUUUUCUCUCUCUCUCUCUCUCUUAUUUUUUUGGUUUGUUAUCAGUACUUUUACUUGCUGGGAUUUCUUGCUGGGAUUUUUGAGUCUUUGAGGUUACGGAUUUAACUUUUUUUGCCUGAUUACUGGCUUAAGGAUCGGAGUUUUAAGAGGAUAAAGGUUCUUAGCUCCUGCAUUGUCUGUGUGUAACA